rnacentral:lncRNA from 1 species
ACGCUUAAAAAGUUUUAAGUUUUGUAUCAAAAAAUUAAAUAUAAAUAAAUGUUCAAAAAAAGCAAAUGCUCACGCUUGCAAAUAAAGUCUUUCCAAGGUGGCUGCGUACAAGUUGUUGGAAGCAUCUUAAAUAAAAAUUCAGUGACUAAAAAAA